rnacentral:sRNA from 1 species
GGCUUGUGUGAUUUUUAAUGUUUAAAAAUUUUUCUUUUAGUGUUUACAACUAAUUGAUCACAACCAGUUACAGAUUCCUUUGUUCCUUCUCCACUCCCACUGCUCCACUUGACUAGCCUUCA